rnacentral:rRNA from 1 species
UACAGAGGGUGCAAGCGUUAAUCGGAAUUACUGGGCGUAAAGCGUGCGCAGGCGGUUCGUUGUGUCGGCGGUGAAAGCCCCGGGCUUAACCUGGGAAUGGCCGUCGAAACUGGCGAACUGGAGUGUGGCAGAGGGGGGGUGGAAUUCCGCGUGUAGCAGUGAAAUGCGUAGAGAUGCGGAGGAACACCGAUGGCGAAGGCAGCCCCCUGGGCUGACACUGACGCCUCAGGCACGAAAGCGUGGGGAGCAAACAGG